UCGUAUGUAACAAGGGAACCGCCCUAAGGAAAUAAAAAGACAGGGUUCGGUAGAGUGAACUUAGAGGGGGUUGGAGAUUGUAACUAAGUACACUCUCGUCCGUUCUCCUUGCAAGCCUGAAAACUGAACUGCCUCUGUGUCUUACAAAUGUUCUAGGUGUCUUUGAACAUGACAUUUACUUGGUCCUUCGAGCCGGAUGCCAACAUACCCGACGAAUCCAGUGGGCGGGUGGAUUGCAGUAUAAAGACCAUGGCCAUGGCAGGCUCCAUUUAAAGUGAGUCCAAAAGACCCUUUCCGGGACUGACAUCGGCCCGCCAGCUGGAAUCCAAAGGUUGACGGUACUCUGAGAAGACAGACGGGGAUGGUGACCCUGCGUCGUGAUUUGUCCGAUAGGAGAGGUUAAUUUUAGUCAUCAACUACUUCAUCAUCUACUACUGGACUCCAAAACAGAGCACUCACAAACUAAGGUAAGCAGAGACCUUUUUAACAAAAUUCUGCACAUUGACAGUUACCAAAUUAUUUGUGAGUCCGAGACAAGUAAUUUGUUCUAAUCAUAAGUUUUGUGUGACUCGCGAGAUAGAGAAAUCCUACAACAAAGGUUGUGCAAGGUUAGCCUCCAAUCACGACAGAUUGGAGAAGGUUAUCCUCCAGUGACUACUGGGGAAGGAUAUCCUCUGAUGACGGUCAGGGAAGAUUUACCAAUAUUAAAAGGUAAAUAUUAGAAGUGAAGGAUCCUUCUGGUUAGAGACCAGGGAAGGUCUUGCAGGACAAGACAAAUUUAUUUAUGUGUAGAAAACUUUUUCAGGCAUUUUUAGUACACACCGAAAGAACUGUUAGGAGAAUUCCGAAGUGAAUUAAAAAGAUGUAUUAAGUGUGGGGAAACCCCAAGGAGAAAGGCGCCACUUGUGGUAGAAGCUUCCUUUCUCACACUUGAAAUAUCUGUCACUGAGACAUUCACUUUUCUAUGAAUUCUCCCCAUAUUUAUAUGAUGGAAGGAAAUUUUUCGGCACGGUGGGCGACUGGUUAGAGCGUCUGCCUCACAGUUCUGAGGACCAGGGUUCAAUCCCUGGCCCCACUUGUGUGGAGUUUGCAUGUUCUCCCCGUGCCUGAGUGGGUUUUCUCCGGGCACUCCGGUUUCCUCCCACAUCCCAAAAAUAUGCUUGGUAGGUUAAUUGACAACUCUAAAUUGCCCCGAGCUGUGAAUGUGAGUGUGAAUGGGUGUUUGUUUGUAUGUGCCUUGUUCAGGGUGUACCCCGCCUCCUGCCCGAUGAUAGCUGGGAUAGGCUCCAGCAGGCCUGUGACCCUAGUGAGGAGAAGCGGCUCAAAAAAUGGAUGGAAGGACAUUUUGACAAAUAUUGUCAAUUGGUAGAAAAACCCGAAUUGGUAUUAGGAGAUUCAGGUCACGAAGGGGGAAAAUGUGGCAAUUCACAAAGUUACUGUUACACUAUACGGGACUAAGGUAUGUAGGGGAGGAGAAACAGAAAAAGGCAAGAGAGAAAAUAAGUCAGUGAUUAGAUAAAAAAGAGGAAGAAGGAAAAAUCAGAAAGACAGCCUUUGCUUCCUGAGUUACACCGUCUAAAAGACAGACAAAUUGUAGAAAUAAAACUUCUAAAAAAAAGUCCGGCUUUAAGAAAUCCGCAGUGAACUCUAAAAUCCCUGGAAAAGAACAAGCUCUGUGUACAGUGAUGUACACAGAGCUGAAUGUACUUGCAUUGGUGAGGAUGAUUGAACCAAAAGAUGAUGCCAUGAUUAUGGCAUGACAAAGGGAAAAAAAGAGAAAGAAAAGAGAAAGAAAGGAGGAUGAAAUUGAAAAUAUAAUUAUAAAAACCAGGCACUAAUAAUAAAAACCAGGCACUAUCUGUCAUGGCACCUCAGCUACUGUCACAGGACCCGACAUGGGCCACUUUGCUACUACAGCAGCAGACUAGAGGGGGGUCGGAGGUGGUUUCAGGGGUCACUCCCGCGGCGCGAACUCCAUAAGAUGCUUCGCAUGUGGAAAAACUGGACACGUUGCACGUGUCUGUCGAGGCCCUGCUGAAAAGCACAGAGUAACUACAGUUGUUACGCCUAUGGACAAGAGGGACACACUGCCAACUGUUGUCCCAACCUGCUGCCCAGAGGACGUGGUGAAACAACAGGACGAGGCAGGGGAAAUGUCCCAAAGAGACAUUUUACAUAAAUGUAAUGCUCCCACUGUCUGUGCAGUACACGGACUUGACAUUGUGUUUCCAGAUGGAACCAUGCUGGAGACCAAAGGGGACCUGCGUACACAUGUGCUGGCAUGUGUCCAACAAAACACUGUGACUCCUGUUACUGACAUCUAUCGGGGAAUGCUUGACACGUGUCAAAUAAAUAACAGCGUGCUGCAGGCAUUUGCGGAGUGGAAGCCAUGGGUUGUGUCCUUGGGACCAUUCCUGCCAACCCCUCCACAUUGUACCUUGUUCUAUGAUAGAGAACACGAUUAGAUUUAUCAACAAGAAUUUUUGAAAAACUAUCAGACACUCAUGGUAUUUUACCAACUGAUAGAAUAUUGGUGGGAGGAGAGGGUGUUGCGGCAGUGGUUGACCUGACAUCGGAUUUAUUGCCUUGGUUCAAAAUGCCAUUUUCUGCGCCUCAAAUUUCAUUGGCACUUAAACGGGAAGGAUUAAGAAAUCUGCCGGCUAAACUCAAUUGGACACAUGAUGAGAAAGAACUCUUCUUACAAAUUAAACAAGAAUUAAGUCAAGACAUUACUUUGGCACUUCCUAACUAUAAACAACCAUUUUAUUUGGACAUAUAAAAAAAAAACUCAUACCGCCGCUGCAGUAUUGUACCAACUAGUACGGGGCGAAAGAAAGGUACUACUACACACGAGUGUUUUGUUAGAACCAAUAGUAGCACGUGCAUCUGACUGCGAGAGGUAUGCAGCAGCAGCUGCGGCUCUUAUAGAAAAAUUUGCACAUGUGGUGCUUAUGCAGCCGCACUGCGUACACACCACACACACUACAACCGCUUUUCAUCAACUCACGACUAUUUACCUUUUCAAACAACAACUGCAUAUUCAAUUUACACCUGUCAAUACUAACAUGGCUGACGGUGUAACUGAAGGAAUGCAUUGGUGUGAGGAGAAGGCUAGAAAAGACAAAGCAUGUCGUUCAGAUUUAUUGUCAGAACCGUUGAAGCGAGGGAGAAAGUUGUUUACGGAUGGUUGUUGUUAUAGGAAAAACAAUGGGGAACUAGUGGUUGGAUGGGUUGUAAUUGAACUAGUAGUGAACGAAAGGAGUCGAACGUAUGAAUGCAACUUUAAAACAAAAAUUGGCUAAAUGCUGUGCACAGUCGAAUAUGUCGUGGUUGAGAGCUCUCCCAAUUGUGCUCAUGUCCAUCAGAGCAUCGGUAAAUAGUACACACAAACUCAGCCCUUUUAAAAUAUACCAUGUUUUUCUUUUUCUUUUUCUUCUUCAUCUUCUUCUUCUUCAGCUCAUCUUUUGAGUCACUUUCUUCCUUGUCGCAACUGUCUUACUUUGAUCAAUUAAGAGGUGUUCUGUCCAGCUUUGCAGGCAUCCAAUCGGACGGCGAUAAACCACCUGCAUCUGUUUGGCUUCGAGUGAUAAAGAGGAAGUGGUCUGAACCAAGGUGGACGGGAAAUUUUAGCUUUAGCCACAGGAUACACACAAUAAAACCUGUGGAUAGCCUACUUACAAGAAACGGCCCGACUUGGCAAUUUUGGGGAUUGUAUAAUGUGUGCAGCCGCACGACCCACUGUAUGUUCAGCUCCAGGACCAAUUAUGGAUAUUGAUUCACUAAUGCAUGAUUGAAAUAUAAAGAAUAAACCAUAAGGUUAGCUCUCGAUGCGCCAAGUAUGAGAAUAUGUGGCCAAAAUUACCUAAAAGUACAGUACCACUCAUGACCCAUUAUGCAGAAGGAAAUUACACUUGUUUAAAGCAUGACAGAAUUAACCAGAACAAAACUAAAUAUGUGGGGGUAUUUCCAUUUUGUCAUAAUAUAAUAGAUGUCACUACAUGGGGAAAUAUUACAAUAUUGAGCAAAAGGUCUUUAGGUGAUUUGGCAUAUAUGUGUGAAAUUAAUGUAGUAUGAGCUGUAUUACCUGACAAAUGGAAAGGGACAUGUACAAUGAUUUCAUAUGUGGCGUCAACUACUGUAAUUUUCGCCAAGGAUCAAAUAACAAGACCAAAAACAGAAAUUAAUGUGAGGUCAAAGAGAUCAAUCAGCGAUAAUUGGUCAGAGGACAGAACCACAUACAUAGAUGGCAUUGGAGUGCCCAGAGGAGUUCCAAAUGAAUACAAACUGAUUGAUCAAAUUGCAGCAGGAUUUGAAAAUAUGCCCAUCAUCUCUGUAUUGUUCCCAGUAACUCCAAACAAGAAUGUGGAUAGGAUCAACUUUGUUUAUUACCAUUUGCAAAGAGCAGUAAACUUAACCAGUGAUGCCAUUGAAGGCUUAGCUGAACAAUUGGCCCCCACUUCCCUUCUGGCAAUUCAAAACCGCAUGGCCCUUGACAUAAUCCUUGCCGAAAAGAAUGGUGUUUGUGCAAUGUUUGUUCCACAAUGUUGUAAUUUUAUUCCCAACAACACAGCCCCGGAUGGAAAAGUAACGAGAGCCCUCCAUGGGUUACAAACUUUGGCUGCUGAAAUGGCAGAUUCAACAGGCGUUUCCAACCCCCUGGAAGAUUGGCCUAUGGCGUUGUUUGGAAAAUGGAAACACCUUGUAAUUACAUUUAUAAUUGCUAUUGUUACUGCUGUUAAUUUGUUAUUGCUUUUUGAAUGCUGUAUUAUUCCAUGUACGAGGAUGGAUGUUGAUGACCUCCGAAGGAGCUCCUACUCCUGAAGUUCUGCUCACACAAGACGACGUCGUGUCCAGAUGGAUGAAUUAUUGAUUAAGAAUAUACAGUGUCUUUUCUCUUAGCAUGUUACGGGACUUUUCUUUUUCCCUCCUCAAAUCAAUAUAUGGGGAGGUUUUUGGCCUGUCUCAAGAGUAGUACUGCCUUAUGAAGAAUGCUUAGCUCAUUACUACGUUGUUUAUAUAUCCUCUUAUAGCCUUCCACAUAGAGUAGUACUGCUUAGGGUAUGUUACAUAGUUCCACUAUGUAAACAAGGGAAUUGUUGGAUUGUUCUAUUUGUACUCAUGAAGCGAUGUUUCUUUCUUUAACAAUUAAGUUCCAUUUCCAAAACAUCCAAGGCCAGAGGGGUGCCCACAUCUUAGGAUGACUCCCUUUUCCUCUUUAUAGCACCCAAGGUAGAUUACUGAAGAAUGAUGUUCUUAGGAUGACUCUCUUUUCUGAUAACACCCAAGGCCAGAGGUACCUUCUGCUAAACAUAUAUCAAAACCUUCUAACAAAACAGAACCAGGAUAGUUCUGAUGGCGAUGAUGAUAGAGAAAUUGAGAUCGGGACAUUAUUUGAUUCAGCUGAGGAGACCAAAUAAAGCAUUUAAUGUUUUGUGUUCGUGAUAAUGAUCUUACAGCCAAAAAUCAGAAGAAGCGGCUGCUAAGUGAUGUGAAAACAUGAGCAAAAACAUGAUAAACAGGAGGGAAAUGAUAGAAAAAAAGUAAAUAAGUUAUCAUGUGUUGUGCUUACUGCUUACUUCUAGUUAGAGAAGUGUUUUGCUAACUGCGUGCAAAGCUUUUCCCCACAGGAUGAGUCAUGUGCUUUCAGGUGCACAGACAAACUUGAGCCGAGGAGUUUCCUGUUUUCUGAUAAGAAGCAUGAUAACCCCUCAACUGUCUCGACCGCAACAAAAUGUGUUAUGUGCUGAUCACAUGAGUUGCAACAAGCAUGUUUGACCCCACCUUUUAGACGUUGCAACUCGUAUGUAACAAGGGAACCGCACUAAGGAAAUAAAAAGAGAGGGUUCGGCAGAGUGAACUUAGAGCGGGUUGGAGAUUGUAACUAAGUACACUCUCGUCCGUUCUCCUUGCAAGCCUGAAAACUGAA